GUCAGCUUUAAUAAGUAUUUUAACAAUGAAUCAACAUUUAUUUGAAGACUGAGAUUUAAAUCUUGACCAUAAUGAUAAUCCUGUUAAAGAAUCAACAUUAAUUUAAUGUGAUUUUGCGAUCUGGGUUAGGAUGUUUCAACACUUCUAAAGUGCAGUGAUUUUGAAACACUGCUCAAAGUGUAGUUGAGACCGCCUUUAUGACGGUUCUCAGAUCAGUAUCAUUUUUCACUGAAUUUUUUUAUGAGCACGUUUAUACAGUGAAAAUUCCAGAAGACUCACACAUCUAGAAAAAACAAAGAGUCAGAUCAGCAGAACUCGAGAACACAGACAUGUCUCCUGUAACUGCGACACUCUGCGACACUCUGCGGGACUCUGCUGUGUUUCAGCGUCUUUGUGUUUGUAUCUGCAGACCUGAAAUUGAUCACAGCUGAAUCUGGACAGGACGUCACUCUGACAUGUCGAGCUCCAGACAACAACAUCAAUACUUUAGAAUGGAGCAAACCUGACCUGGGAGAUAAGAAUGUCUAUUUGUACCAGAAUGGCCAAUUCAAACCAGAUCACCAGCAUCCAUCUGUUAGGAACCGGGCGGAUCUGCAGAACAGACAGAUGAUGGAUGGAGACGCGUCUUUGAUUCUGAAGGAUGUGACAAUUGGUGACACUGGAACAUACGAGUGUCGUGUCAACAUGGAAGGAAAAAACCGCAAGGACGCUAAACCCGUCAGUGUCUUCUACCUCCAUGUUGUUCCUCCAGGAGCACACAAAGACAAUAAACCUGUUAAAAUUGACCCUCCACGUGUUGUUCCUCCAGCUCAGAAAGGAGGAUCUGGUGGACUGAAAGCUGGUCUGGUAGUUCCUGCUGUGCUUCUUGUUGCUGCUACUGUUGUUGGUUUUUGAAAAGAAACACCAACAACAGCAGCAACAAGAAGAAAACAGUCUCAAGGUUCAAAUGAGCGUUCUGCUGAACAACAGAGCGGACAACCUCUUCAGACUUAAGAUCAUCAACCAAUAAACAUCAUAGACGUCAAACACUCAGAGUUUGGAUUUCUUUCUCAUUUCUCUGAUGAUCAUCAUGUUCAGACUCAGACCAACAGUGUGUGUCUGUGCUGUCUGUCAGUGAACCUGAACUACAGUUUAUUCAUCUUCAUGUUGUUCAUGAGAUUUACUGACACAAAGUCAAACUGUGUUACAAACAUAAAUGAAUUUAUAUGAUAUUAUCUCAGAAUAUAUGCAUGUUUUGUUUUUUAGCUUCAUGUUCAGCGGCUGGUUGUAAGAAAAACUAAAGAUCAGCUGUUACAGUAUAAUUGUUGUUCUGUGAAUUAUAGACUAUUAAUAAUCUGGCUCAUUGUUCAGCUACAACCACUUUGGUUGACAUUACUUAUUAUUCUCUUUUUGUAUAAAAUGUUGAAUUUUACAGCUUACGGAGCAAAAUUGUGUAAAAGUAAAAAUUUGUGUAGUUACAGACUCAUAUUUCUUCUCUGAUCCUGAACCUUUCUAACCCCUUUCAUUUAACAUUUCCUCCAGUGAAUCUUUGUAAAUCCAAAUUUCUUCAUCUAUGUUAAUAAAGAUUUACAUUUAUACCUGCUCAAGGUU
ensembl:lncRNA